UACGUAGGUGGCGAGCGUUGUCCGGAUUUACUGGGCGUAAAGGGCGUGCAGGCGGUUUGUUAAGUGCAGGGUGAAAGCUCCCGGCUCAACUGGGAGAGGUCCUUGCAUACUGGCGAACUCGAGGGAGGCAGAGGAAAGUGGAAUUCCCGGUGUAGUGGUGAUAUGCGUAGAUAUCGGGAGGAACACCUGUGGCGAAGGCGGGUCUCUGGGCCGAUACUGACGCUGAGGAGCGAAAGCGUGGGGAGCGAACAGG
rnacentral:rRNA from 1 species